UUUCCAUUUAGACCCCAACUGAAACGUUGACCAUCUGAACCCUCGAACAUAUGAUAAACUGUGCCAUUUGAACACCUCGUGCCAGCUUGGCACAUGCGUGCAGUACACUUGCUGUGACAUGGAAAAAUAGACCAAUAAAAAUAAGCCAUGUCAACAAAAAAAAAAUUAAUUUUAAGAAAAAUUAAUUUUAAAAUCUAUUUAAAUAAUUUUAAAAAAAAUUGAAAAAUCCAACCCAUCCUCUCCGAUAGCCCAUUUCACCACAGCCACUGCCGCUGCUGCCUCCGCCGCCCCCACUACCGCCGCCGCUUCAAAAUCUAUUUAAAUAAUUAAAAAAAAUGGUGUUGUUUUUCGUCGGAGAUUUGUUUAAAUGGAUUUUGAAGUGGAGCAGCGACAGCGGCGGAGGCAGUGGCGGCGGCGAAAUGGGCUAUCAGAGAGGAUGGGUUGGGUUUUUCAAUUUUUUUUAAUUAUUUAAUAGAUUUUAAAAUAGAGUUUUUGUUAAAAUUAAUUUUUAAUGAUUAAAAAUUUUAAAAAAGAAAAAAUUUGGUCUCUCACGCUCUGUUUAAAGCAGUGUAUUGCAGGCGUGUGCCCAGCUAGCACGAGGUGUUCAAAUGGCACAGUUUAUCUUAUGUUCGAGAGUUCAGAUGGUUAACGUUUCAGUUAAGGGGUCUAAAUGGAAAAUCAGGACAAGUUCAGGUCCAUCUAUGACUUUGGCCAAAAAAAAAAAAAAAAAAAAAAACUUAGUUACAAUAGCUUUCAUACUAAGGCUUUUGUUACUUCCCUACUAAUUUACUUAUUAUUCCAAUUUCAUACUCAGGUCUAGACAUCUUCAGAGGAAGAAAUGACAUCUUCAGAAGAAGAGAUAGAAGAAACAUUAUAAUACCAAUAAUAGAGACGUAGACUACAUGCGAAAUUUUCUGAAGUGGAGGCCUCAACUAGCGAUACUCCAAGAGUGUCGUCCUACCUUGAUACAAAAUGGGGAUAAUUACAUUCAAGAGAAAAAUAUGAUAUUACUUGGGACGAGAAUCACUUGAAGUGAUAGGGAAGAACUUCCAUUAACAUGGACGCUGCGCUUCCGCAUCAAGCAACUCUGCUGGAAUUGUGAGCUAUGAUUUGAGCUUUGAUACCUGAGCAUGGAACAGAAAAGAGAUCAGGUCUCUGGACUAUGAAAUGCAGUUUUGCAUUCAAGGCUCUGCAAGAAAGUAUGGAGUCUAGAAUGAUGGUUCUAAAAAAUCAGAGAAAGAUCGCAGGUCAAAAGGAGUGGAGGACCAAUAAGAAAAGGAAAAAUGAUGAUGCACGAGCACGUGGUGAGAGGAUAAGAUCCUGUUAUCCAGACGACGAAAAAAGAAUAGGUGGAAUUGCAAAAUUUACAGGAAGAGGCAGACCAAAAGUGCAUUGAAGCAUUAAAACUGGAAAGGCAAAAGAGAAUUGCAUCCAGAGGUGGCCCCAGCGCCAACAGCCCAAACAAGAAAACUCUCUCCUUGCACCAUCAGGUGAUCUCAGAGCAUGGAUACUCGUCGCCAUUGUAAAGAACCAAAAUAAAAACUUCACUGAUCUGCAAAAGGGCUGCAAAUCAACUGACGGCAGCAAAUUGGCUGUUAAUAAAUUGAGGGCUGAACCAAACAAUAGCGCUACGCCUGAUUCCAUGGCACGAAUAAGAAGAUUAUCAGAGCCCAAAGCAAUCAGCAGCAGGCCUGAUACUUUCAAGGUGCUUAAUUUGUAUCAAAGCCCAAGGCUCCCAGUGACGAAGCGCUCUGGUGUGCCAGAGAGCAACAAAAUAUCUGCUAUCAUAGACCCUCACAAAAAGAAUGCUGCUACUCUUCCUGUGCUGAAUACAUGAGCAAGCUACCCUUUCAAUUUUCUUACAAGCCAGUUCAAGUUAAUUUUUACCCGCUUUAAGCUUAUUUAUUGGAAAAAUGUAUUUUCACCUAAACAGCCCUUGUCAGGAAAACUUAUAAUGUAUACACCUAAACAAGAUUUAUUAAUGAAAAAAAAAAUCGCCUACUUAAAGUCUCAUGUCUAAAUAUGCUUAUAUGGAUAUUUGUGAUUAUUUAUCUGCCAAUGGAUUCCUUUUAUGCUGUUUAAGUUUGGAACUAUCGGUAGUACUGUUUAUCGUGCUCUCUAUGCUCGUGUCUCCGACACUUGUACCAUAAACUUGGAGUAUGUUAAAGCACCCCCGUUGAGCCCU